rnacentral:misc_RNA from 1 species
UGAAGAACGCAGUGAAUUGCGAUAAUAAGUACGAAUUACAGAUAUUAUGAGUACCAUGUUUUUGAAUGCAUAUUGCGCUCUUGGGCUUUGCUCUUGAGCAUAUUCGAUUCAGGGUGUGUUUUUAAACUCGAGCAGAAACGCCGACUUGUUUUUUUCAAGUUUCUGCACGUUGUGACAGUCGUCUCGCAUUGUUCGCGCAAUGUUAGGCACCAUCUGUUUUACGCGGUUUGUUCCGCGACCAAUAUCUUCUACGCACUGUUUGUCCGUGCGGGGCGAGAGGGCUUCGUGCUCGAUUGUCGUGCGCGGCUAAACCGUUUGGUGAUGUUGUUUCAACGGCGCGGCCGUCAGGGACGUUCGGAUGAGAAUGUUUGGAGUCCUGGCUGCGGUUUGUUGAGCUUCGUCGUGAAGCCUUGCGGGCAGUGUUGUCGGAAUUGGUUGAAACCACCUGAGUUGGGUAUGACUACCUGCUGAACUUAAGCAUAUCAUUUAG